rnacentral:rRNA from 1 species
AGAGUUCGAUUCUGGCUCAGGACGAACGCUGGCGGCGCGCCUAACACAUGCAAGUCGAACGGGGUUUACAGGCAGAAGUUUUCGGAUGGAAGCUUGUAAACUUAGUGGCGGACGGGUGAGUAACACGUGAGCAACCUGCCUAUCAGAGGGGGAUAACGAUUGGAAACGAUCGCUAAUACCGCAUGACAUAGCGAAACCGCAUGGUUUUGCUAUCAAAGAUUUAUCGCUGAUAGAUGGGCUCGCGUCCGAUUAGAUAGUUGGUGAGGUAACGGCUCACCAAGUCGACGAUCGGUAGCCGGACUGAGAGGUCGAACGGCCACAUUGGGACUGAGACACGGCCCAG